rnacentral:lncRNA from 1 species
GUUGUUUUGUUUUGUAUAUUUGCUGCGGGUGUACUGGGAUUGCUUCUUCGUAUCCUUGUCUUUGUUUGGUCCUAUUUUAUUUUUAAAAAUUUUAACAAGGGUUUGAAGGAAAAAGUGUAUCAACAUAUAUCUUCUGCGCCAAAAAGGAACAUCUUAAAUAAAAGUCAGCAAAAUAACCCUAAUUACAACUCCAUGCAGUCCAUAUAAGGAGACCGUAAAUAAAAAAUUAACUUUUGUAGAGUAAACAUGGAACUAGAUUUGAUUUAUUACUAUGUAAAAUGUAUACUUUCAUAAAAAUGCAUGUAAUAAGAAAAUGAUGUCAUACUAUUUGAAAUUAACAUUUUUGGUUUUAUAAUGCAGUUGAUUUGAUUGUUCAUAUAACAUUGUUGAACCAAUUAGUCCGAUGAGGCUAUGAGACUAUUUAGUUCUCAGGAUUGCAAAUAAGCAAGUGUCUUUUCAUUUGAAUUUUCUAUAUCGGUGUUUUU